GGGGGUUUGGGCAAAACAACUCUAGCACAGCUUGUAUACAAUGACCAAACAGUGCACAGAUCAUAUGAUGUUUGUGUAUGGGUUUACGUGUCUGAUCAUUUUGACUCAACGAACUUGACAAAAAAAAUAAUAGUUUCUAUUACCAAGGAGAGCAAUAACUUGUCAGAACUGGUUGAUCUUCAGGACAAGUUAGGCCAAGAGAUACGAGGGAAGAGAUUUUUACUUGUAUUAGAUGAUGUCUGGAACGAAAGAAAGGAUUGCUGGGAAACAUUUUGCAAGCCUUUGUCAGCUGCCCGACAAUGUAAUAUUUUAGUAACCACUCGCAAUGUAGCAGUAGCAAGAUUGGUGCAGACAAUGCCACACUUCACCAUUGACCACUUAAGCCCCCACGAGAGCUGGACAUUGUUUGAAAGAACAGUUGCAGUGCACGACAAUAUCAUUCAAGGAAAUCUUGUAGACAUUGCCAAGAAGAUUGUUCAAAAGUGUGACAGGCUACCACUAGC
rnacentral:sRNA from 1 species